rnacentral:rRNA from 1 species
GUAUGGUGCAAGCGUUAUCCGGAUUUACUGGGUGUAAAGGGAGCGUAGACGGAGUGGCAAGUCUGAUGUGAAAACCCGGGGCUCAACCCCGGGACUGCAUUGGAAACUGUCAAUCUAGAGUACCGGAGAGGUAAGCGGAAUUCCUAGUGUAGCGGUGAAAUGCGUAGAUAUUAGGAGGAACACCAGUGGCGAAGGCGGCUUACUGGACGGAAACUGACGUUGAGGCUCGAAAGCGUGGGGAGCAAACAGGAUUAGAUGCCCUGGUAGUCCACGCCGUAAACGAUGACUACUAGGUGUCGGGCAGCAAAGCUGUUCGGUGCCGCAGCAAACGCAAUAAGUAGUCCACCUGGGGAGUACGUUCGCAAGAAUG